AUCUCUACCUGACUAUCUCUCAUGCUCUCUCUCUAUAUAAAUGAAAAUUAAAUGGUUAAUAAAUUCGGCUGGAACAACAUCCUUCUCUGCUGAUCUGCUCCGACGAGAACAACUAAUAAAGAAGAAGCUGCAGCAUCAGAACUAAGGAGUUGAUUGGGAAGAACAUAUACAUGGUUUCUGUAAAUCCAAACCCAAAUCCAUCCGACGGUUUGUUCUUAGAUCCCAUGGAAAUGGCGCUCCCCGGCCUCGGCUCUUUGGCACCAACCACAACUCCAUCAGACGACCCGGCUAAGAAGAUUAGGAAGCCCUACACCAUCACUAAAUCCCGAGAGAGCUGGACUGAACAAGAGCACGACAAGUUUCUAGAAGCUUUGCAACUCUUUGAUCGUGACUGGAAGAAGAUUGAAGCUUUUGUUGGGUCGAAGACUGUUAUCCAGAUACGCAGCCAUGCACAAAAGUACUUUCUGAAAGUCCAGAAAAAUGGAACAAGCGAACAUGUACCUCCACCUCGGCCUAAGAGAAAAGCAGCUCAUCCCUACCCACAGAAAGCCUCCAAAAAUGCUCCAGUUCUCUCACAAGUCACAGGAGCAUUCCAGUCUUCUUCUGCCCUGCUUGAACCAGGAUAUAUCCUUAGGCCAGAUUCAUCAUCAAUGCUUGGGUAUCCUAUUAGAGGUGCAACAUCCUGGGUUCAUAAUUCUUCUCCACCAGUUAAUGUGUCACACAUGGCAAAAGAUAAUAUGGGAUCCGCCAUGCCUACAGCACUAAACAAUUGUUGCAGUAGCACUGAAAGCACUCCAAGGAGAUGGCCAACCUGUGAAAGAACUGAUCAAGGGAAUCAAGGCCCACCACUGAGGGUUAUGCCAGACUUUGCUCAAGUAUAUAGCUUCAUUGGUAGUGUCUUUGACCCCAAAACAAGUGGCCACUUACAGAAACUAAAGGAGAUGGAUCCAAUUGAUGUCGAAACUGUGUUACUGUUAAUGAGAAAUCUCUCAAUCAAUUUGUCAAGCCCAGAUUUUGAGGAUCAUGCUCAGUGUGGUAGCUUGCAAGAUGCAAUAUUAGAUUAUCUCUUCAGUGAAGGUGCCAGUUGGUUUUCUGGUAAGUCUCCUGCUGAUUGUAGCAGAGACCUGGGGACCAGAUCCUGCCUAGCCAAAAAAUAUCAUCUCCUCGGUGGUGCUUGAGUGGCUUCCCAAGGAAUACAUCCUUCAAUUAUUUAUACAAACAGAUUUAACAUGAUGGAUCAUAUGGUGCUAGUGACUAGAAGCACAAUACUAUUAUCAGAUGCUUCCCUUCAUCAGUGCAACUCAAAUACAGUGGUUAAGUGUGAGAAUUGCUGGAAGAUGUCUCACAUCACUGUAUUGACUACAUGCAAAGUUGGGCCAUUACUUGGUGUUUUGGUACGAUCUCAGGCUGGCAAGCUUGAGAUGUGGUUUCGAGCCUGAAAGCAGCCACUUGGUUCCAAAAAAAUGCCAAAGGUUAGGACCAUAUCCAGUCUACCCCUCCCAAGACCCCAGACUGCUGGGACCAACAUUUGGUAAUGGCCUUUAUCUUUCUCUUGGAGGUUAGGCUACCACUCAUUCAUGCAAUUAUAUGAUGUAACGUGAUGUGUCAGGAAGGAACCUGUACUUUUCAUGCACCAGUGAGUAGUAGGAUGUUCUUUUUGACAUGGUUAUUGGUUAGACUAUUAACUGUUGCAAAUGGAAUAUAGUGAACUAUUUGUUUAACUGAGGGGGCCUUUAGUUUUGUUGUGCACAACAUGACAAUGAUGAAGUGGUUUCCAUUGCUUUGAUUCUAUUGCAGAUGAAACUGUUUAUCCAGACUCUAAUUGCCCCAUGCAACGUACUGAUUACUAGUAAAGAUGAGCGACCAAACCAUGAUUAGGAAAGUCUAAACUGAUCCUCAUGCCCCUUUAUGUUUAAAUUUCUCCAGCUAACUAAAAACCCCUCUUGCAUGGUUCAUUGUUUUCUCAAACAACAUUUUUUUUUUUCUUUUCAUUAGCAGCUGAUCAAAAAAAUUAUUUUUCUUGCUAGUAGCGCUAAUGCAGCUGCCAAGACAUGAAAGGAUGAUGAUUUCUAGUUAGUAUUUCUUCCAAACAAAGCUUAGAGAAGGUUGCUCUCAUCCUAUGAUGUUGAUUCUGAUAAGGCUAAACCUGGUAGUUCAAAUCACAGCCUCCAGGGUGAUGAUCCCAACAAC